GCCUGGCUGGCUCAGUCAGUAGAGCAUGUGACUCUUGAUCUCAGGGCUGUGAGUUCAAGCCCCACGUUGGGCG
rnacentral:tRNA from 1 species